rnacentral:rRNA from 1 species
GAUGAACGCUGGCGGCGUGCCUAAUACAUGCAAGUCGAGCGAACAGACGAGGAGCUUGCUCCUCUGACGUUAGCGGCGGACGGGUGAGUAACACGUGGAUAACCUACCUAUAAGACUGGGAUAACUUCGGGAAACCGGAGCUAAUACCGGAUAAUAUAUUGAACCGCAUGGUUCAAUAGUGAAAGACGGUUUUGCUGUCACUUAUAGAUGGAUCCGCGCCGCAUUAGCUAGUUGGUAAGGUAACGGCUUACCAAGGCAACGAUGCGUAGCCGACCUGGGAGGGUGAUCGGCCACAAUGGAACUGAGACACGGUCCAGACUCCUACGGGAGGCAGCAGUAGGGAAUCUUCCGCAAUGGGCGAAAGCUUGACGGAGCAACGACGCGUGGGUGAUGAAGGUCUUCGGAUCGUAAAACUCUGUUAUUAGGGAAGAACAAAUGUGUAAGUAACGAUGCACGUCUGGACGGUACCUAAGCAGAAAGCCACGGCUAACUACGU